rnacentral:rRNA from 1 species
GAUGAACGCUAGCGGCGUGCCUAAUACAUGCCAGUCGAGCGAACGGACGAGAAGCUUGCUUCUCUGAUGUUAGCGGCGGACGGGUGAGUAACACGUGGAUAACCUACCUAUAAGACUGGGAUAACUUCGGGAAACCGGAGCUAAUACCGGAUAAUAUUUUGAACCGCAUGGUUCAAAAGUGAAAGACGGUCUUGCUGUCACUUAUAGAUGGAUCCGCGCUGCAUUAGCUAGUUGGUAAGGUAACGGCUUACCAAGGCAACGAUGCAUAGCCGACCUGAGAGGGUGAUCGGCCACACUGGAACUGAGACACGGUCCAGACUCCUACGGGAGGCAGCAGUAGGGAAUCUUCCGCAAUGGGCGAAAGCCUGACGGAGCAACGCCGCGUGAGUGAUGAAGGUCUUCGGAUCGUAAAACUCUGUUAUUAGGGAAGAACAUAUGUGUAAGUAACUGUGCACAUCUUGACGGUACCUAAUCAGAAAGCCACGGCUAACUACGUG